rnacentral:rRNA from 1 species
UACGGGGGGGGCAAGCGUUGUUCGGAAUUACUGGGCGUAAAGGGCUCGUAGGCGGCCAACUAAGUCAGACGUGAAAUCCCUAGGCUCAACUCCAGAACUGCCUUUGAUACUGGGAAUCUCGAGUCCGGGAGAGGUGAGUGGAACUGCGAGUGUAGAGGUGAAAUUCGUAGAUAUUCGCAAGAACACGAGUGGCGAAGGCGGCUCACUGGCCCGGUACUGACGCUGAGGUGCGAAAGCGUGGGGAGCAAACAGG